rnacentral:rRNA from 1 species
AUACAGAGGGUGCAAGCGUUGUUCGGAAUCACAGGGCGUAAAGCGCAUGUAGGUGGUAUAGUAAGUUGACUGUGAAAUCCCUAGGCUCAACCUAGGACGUGCAUUCAAAACUGCUAAACUAGAGUGUCGGAGGGGGUGGUGGAAUUCCUAGUGUAGAGGUGAAAUUCGUAGAUAUUAGGAGGAACACCCGUGGCGAAGGCGACCACCUGGACGACAACUGACACUGAGAUGCGAAAGCGUGGGGAGCAAACGGGAUUAGAUACCCUAGUAGUCC